rnacentral:rRNA from 1 species
CCAAGGAGUUUAGCGUGUGCGCGAGUCAUUGGGCGUUGAAAACCCAAAGGCGCAAUGAAAGUGAAUGAUUCCCUCGUGGAGCUGAUGUGCGACCCUGCGUACUGCGGUGCGUGGGGGCAGCAUAGCCCCGUCUUGACCGCUUGCGGUGGGGCGGAGAAAGAGCGUACGCGCUGAGACCCGAAAGAUGGUGAACUAUUCCUGAGCAGGACGAAGCCAGAGGAAACUCUGGUGGAAGUCCGAAGCGAUUCUGACGUGCAAAUCGAUCGUCUGACUUGGGUAUAGGGGCGAAAGACUAAUCGAAC